rnacentral:rRNA from 3 species
GUGGUCAAGCUAAUAAGGGCUCAUGGUGGAUACCUAGGCACACAGAGGCGAAGAAGGACGUGGUUACCUGCGAAAAGUUCCGGGGAGUUGGAAGCAAACAGAGAGCCGGAAAUAUCCGAAUGGGGCAACCCUGAAAACUGCCUGUUGAAUAUAUAGACAGGAAAGAGCGAACCUGGCGAAUUGAAACAUCUUAGUAGCCAGAGGAAAAGAAAUCAAAAGAGAUUCCCCGAGUAGUGGUGAGCGAAAGGGGAAGAGCCUAAACCAAGGGGUAUACCUCUUGGGGUAGUGGGACAGCAACAUCGAAUCCAGAGACUAGACGAAGCAGCUAAAUACUGCACCAGAGGGGGUGAAAGUCCUGUAGUCGAAAGUCAAAGGAUAGAAGCUGAAUCCCGAGUAGUACGGGGCACGAGAAAUCCCGUAUGAAUCAGCGAGGACCAUCUCGUAAGGCUAAAUACUACUGUGUGACCGAUAGAGAACAAGUACCGCGAGGGAAAGGUGAAAAGAACCCCGGGAGGGGAGUGAAAAAGAACAUGAAACCGUGAGCUUACAAGCAGUGGGAGUCCGAUUAAACGGAUGACCGCGUGCCUGUUGAAGAAUGAGCCGGCGACUUAUAGGUACUGGUAGGUUAAAGCGGGAAUGCUGGAGCCAAAGGGAAACCGAGUCUGAAAAGGGCG